rnacentral:rRNA from 1 species
UACAGAGGGUGCAAGCGUUAAUCGGAGUUACUGGGCGUAAAGGGCGCGUAGGCGGUUUAUAGAGUCAGUUGUGAAACCCCCGGGCUUAACCUGGGACGUGCAGCUGAUACUGGUAGACUAGAGUCGAAGAGAGGGGAGCGGAAUUUCCGGUGUAGCGGUGAAAUGCGUAGAUAUCGGAAGGAACAUCAGUGGCGAAGGCGGCUCCCUGGAUUCAGACUGACGCUGAGGUGCGAAAGCGUGGGUAGCGAACAGG